rnacentral:rRNA from 1 species
GACGAACGCUGACGGCGUGCUUAACACAUGCAAGUCGAACGGAAAGGCCCUGCUUUUGUGGGGUGCUCGAGUGGCGAACGGGUGAGUAACACGUGAGUAACCUGCCCUUGACUUUGGGAUAACUUCAGGAAACUGGGGCUAAUACCGGAUAGGAGCUCCUGCUGCAUGGUGGGGGUUGGAAAGUUUCGGCGGUUGGGGAUGGACUCGCGGCUUAUCAGCUUGUUGGUGGGGUAGUGGCUUACCAAGGCUUUGACGGGUAGCCGGCCUGAGAGGGUGACCGGCCACAUUGGGACUGAGAUACGGCCCAGACUCCUACGGGAGGCAGCAGUGGGGAAUAUUGCACAAUGGGCGGAAGCCUGAUGCAGCAACGCCGCGUGCGGGAUGACGGCCUUCGGGUUGUAAGCCGCUUUCGCCUGUGACGAAGCGUGAGUGACGGUAAUGGGUAAAGAAGCACCGGCUAACUACGUG